rnacentral:tRNA from 4 species
GCCGUCAUCGUAUAGGGGUCAGUACACCAGUUUGUGGCACUGGAAACGCAAGUUCGAGUCUUGCUGACGGCA